AUACUGCAGAGCAGCACCAAAUUAAACCACAGCAUGCCACGGCAAAAAGCAUGAGGCCCACUGACCUGUGACAUUAUGGUGAGCUACACGGGAUUCUACUACAAACUACAGAGGAGCUUCUACAAACCCAACUGUUUCUGCACAGACCAGACCUACUAGAGAUCCCAGAGUCUGCUCAGAGUCACAUAGCUGCCUGGAUCCAGCCACAGGGAGGGACCAGAGAUGGAAGCUGGGACUGCUUCUCCAGAUGAAGAAGAGUAAACGGCAUCUGGAGUCACUUUUCUGAUGAGAGCAGGGCUCUGCUGUACUACACUGCUCCAGGAAUGAAAAUGUUCAGCCUUCAUUGGCGUUCCCCAAGUCCUAGCAUCUCGAUGCGCUCCUGUCCUACGUUUUGGUCAUCUCCGACUCCUUGGC